rnacentral:rRNA from 1 species
GCGUGAGUGAAGAAGGCCUUAGGGUUGUAAAGCUCUUUCGCCCGCGAGGAUAAUGACGGUAGCGGGAGAAGAAGCCCCGGCUAACUCCGUGCCAGCAGCCGCGGUAAUACGGAGGGGGCUAGCGUUGUUCGGAAUUACUGGGCGUAAAGCGCGCGUAGGCGGCUUAUCAAGUUAGGGGUGAAAGCCCAAGGCUUAACCUUGGAACUGCCUUUAAGACUGAUAGGCUUGAGUAUGGGAGAGGUAAGUGGAAUUCCGAGUGUAGAGGUGAAAUUCGU